GGCAAGUUUGUGACGGUUACUGUGCAUUGCAGGGAGUGGGACAGAUAUCAGAAAACAUUUUCAUUUUGAAAUUGAGCAAAACAUCAAGUGGUCUUCAAGCAGCAUUCAAAGGAUAGAAUUCAUAGUCAGAAUACAUUUACAUCUCAGUUUAAUUAUGUAAACCAUCUGCCAUGUCAUAAAUAUUAAUAGUGGUCAUUAUUGAGGUCUGUCUACUAUUAUAUAUUUAUCACACCUUGAAUGUGAUUGCAUUUAGUGUUUAGCUUGAAUUUUAUUUUCCUUUUAAGGUCUCCUUAUAAUAUUGCUGUUAUCUGCUGCAUCUCAUUUAUCCGGCUCUGCAGAGAAAUAUGAUGAUCUCAGUGUAUUACUUUACAUAUUUGUGGCUCAUCAUGGACAUACAAAGUGACCACUUCAAGCUCUGGAUUGCAGAAUUGGAUUUCUCCAAUAGCCUUUUAGCACAGAAUAAAGUGCUCUUCCAAAAAUCUAAAGAGUCUGUAAAAUAGACGAUGCUAUAAUACUUUGUGAAAAUAGAGCAUGAAUGAAUAUCUAAUUGCAAGUCCACAAGUUCAUUUAAAA